UCAAAUCUUCAGGAUCCUUCGGAGGAAAGGUUCGUUUGGUCUCUAGUGCAAAUGCACUAGGAUUCAUCGACUCAGUGGAAACAGAUUGGCGACGCAACAGAUUGUAGUUUUGCGGAUAUGAAACGUUCAUUUCUUUUAAUCCUCCCAAUUCAGGAACGUAUUUGGCAUCCGGACCAAUUGCCUCGGGGCCAGCAACCAUAUCGUUGAGCUCAGACAGGAAAUCGCUUUCAUCUCCGUCGCUAAAAGACUCUGUAAUGGUGUCGCCUAAAAGAGAAAUUUGUUAACAUGAUAAAACAAAAAAGGGUAAAAUUUGUGUAGUAUAGAGUGGGAGAUUAAAUGGGUACAGGGUCCUUAAACAACUUUGUGGAAUUAUUAACAGCCAGGAAUCAUAAUUGCUGUUUGCUGACUAAAUUUAGAAAAUACUUACUAUAGAGCAAAACAAAGUAAAAAACCACAAAAAAGAACCCAUAUUGACCAUCAUUUACUUUUCCUCUCCACUAAACAUAGCUAUCCAGAAGCAUCUACUUACCUCGACGAAAUACUGAGCGCUCAGCUUUCAGCUUUUCUCCAAAAAAGUCAUAGCAAAAUUGAAGUACAUCUGAAGGAUUUUGCUCAUCAACAAGGGCUUUU